rnacentral:rRNA from 1 species
GCGAACGGGAUUAGAUACCCUGGUAGUCCACGCCGUAAACGAUGUCGACUUGGAGGUUGUUCCCUUGAGGAGUGGCUUCCGGAGCUAACGCGUUAAGUCGACCGCCUGGGGAGUACGGCCGCAAGGUUAAAACUCAAAUGAAUUGACGGGGGCCCGCACAAGCGGUGGAGCAUGUGGUUUAAUUCGAUGCAACGCGAAGAACCUUACCUACUCUUGACAUCCAGAGAACUUAGCAGAGAUGCUUUGGUGCCUUCGGGAACUCUGAGACAGGUGCUGCAUGGCUGUCGUCAGCUCGUGUUGUGAAAUGUUGGGUUAAGUCCCGCAACGAGCGCAACCCUUAUCCUUUGUUGCCAGCGGUUAGGCCGGGAACUCAAAGGAGACUGCCAGUGAUAAACUGGAGGAAGGUGGGGAUGACGUCAAGUCAUCAUGGCCCUUACGAGUAGGGCUACACACGUGCUACAAUGGCGCAUACAAAGAGAAGCGACCUCGCGGGAGCAAGCGGACCUCAUAAAGUGCGUCGUAGUCCGGAUUGGAGUCUGCAACUCGACUCCAUGAAGUCGGAAUCGCUAGUAAUCGUAGAUCAGAAUGCUACGGUGAAUACGUUCCCGGGCCUUGUACACACCGCCCGUCACACCAUGGGAGUGGGUUGCAAAAGAAGUAGGUAGCUUAACCUUCGGGAGGGCGCUUACCACUUUGUGAUUCAUGACUGGGG